rnacentral:rRNA from 1 species
GACGAACGCUGGCGGCGUGCUUAACCCAUGCAAGUCGAACGGAAAGGCCCUGCUUUUGUGGGAUGCUCGAGUGGCGAACGGGUGAGUAACACGUGAGUAACCUGCCCUUGACUUUGGGAUAACUUCAGGAAACUGGGGCUAAUACCGGAUAGGAGCUCCUGCUGCCUGGUGGGGGUUGGAAAGUUUCGGCGGUUGGGGAUGGACUCGCGGCUUAUCAGCUUGUUGGUGGGGUAGUGGCUUACCAAGGCUUUGACGGGUAGCCGGCCUGAGAGGGUGACCGGCCACAUUGGGACUGAGAUACGGCCCAGACUCCUACGGGAGGCAGCAGUGGGGAAUAUUGCACAAUGGGCGGAAGCCUGAUGCAGCAACGCCGCGUGCGGGAUGACGGCCUUCGGGUUGUAAACCGCUUUCGCCUGUGACGAAGCGUGAGUGACGGUAAUGGGUAAAGAAGCACCGGCUAACUACGUG